rnacentral:rRNA from 1 species
GACGAACGCUGGCGGCGUGCUUAACACAUGCAAGUCGAACGGAAAGGCCCUGCUUUUGUGGGGUGCUCGAGUGGCGAACGGGUGAGUAACACGUGAGUAACCUGCCCUUGACGUUGGGAUAACUUCAGGAAACUGGGGCUAAUACCGGAUAGGAGCUCCAGCUGGAUGGGGGGGGUUGGAAAGUUUAGGCGGUUUGGGAUGGACUCGCGGGUUAUCAGCUUGUUGGUGGGGUAGUGGCUUACGAAGGCUUUGACGGGUAGCCGGCCUGGGAGGGUGGCCGGCCACAUUGGGACUGCGGUACGGCCCAGACUCCUACGGGAGGCAGCAGUGGGGAAUAUUGCACAAUGGGCGGAAGCCUGAUGCAGCAACGCCGCGUGCGGGAUGACGGCCUUCGUGUUGUAAACCGCUUUCGCCUGUGACGAAGCGUGAGUGACGGUAAUGGGUAAAGAAGCACCGGCUAACUACGUG